CAACACCUCGUGCCAAAUGAAAGCACAAUCUUUCUGAUUCAGAUGUCUUGUUAAUUAUGCUUCAUUUUUUCGUUAAAGAUUGGAUGGUUGCAUGGAUUGAUGGAGUUGGAGUUCAACCAAUAAUUCUAAUUUUUUGGACUUAAAAUGCCUUUUUCUUCUGUAUAAAAACUUUAGUAAGUGCUAUUGAGUUGACGGAGGUUGAAUACUUACAGGUUGUUUCACACUUUUUAAUAGUUUUACAUAUAUGAAUUUCUGUUUUUUGAAUUGCAGAAAGGAGGUGGAACUAUUGAUUUGGAGCCUUAUCUUACUCACUCAUCGACAACGGAGCCUACCCUCGCUCCCAUGGCAGUGGAACGGACAACGACUACUAGUGGAGCCUAUCCUCGCUCCCAUGGCAGUGGAACGGACAACAACUACUAGGGCUGCAACAUCAGUUGGUUUGGGUCUGUUUUGAGUUUAUUUUCAUUUAUUUGGCUAUGUUUUGAUAGCGAAUUUUGAUAUGUCAAUAUAAUGUGUAAUUGUUUUGGGUUGAGCUGGUAAUUAUGCUGGAUUAGAUUGGUUUGGUUUUGGUGCUUCUCUGAUGGAACACUGCUUCUUUUAGAAAUUUUGAAUGUAAUAUGAGACUACAUUUAGUUUAAUUGAACACUGCAUCUAGUCUAAUUACUAGAAGUGUGGCAUUUGGUUUGGUUUAUCC
rnacentral:lncRNA from 1 species